AUGGAGCCCAGAAUAGAACCCUGUGGUCACAGUGCCCACACAUCACUAAGCAGCCUCACAGGUUUACUGACAGAACACUGGCUGCCAGGCCCCCAGGUGGGCAGAGAAAUGUCAGAUCCCCAGGCUCAACUGGGCAUCUCAUGGAGAAGCCACCAGCAGAGCAAACAUCAGAGAUUGUUGGACAGCAUCAACAAUCAGGGAAACAGGCGCUAUUCCAUAUUUGGAGAGAACAUAAAACUUAUGGAAACAGGGAAGUCCUACUCAAUUCUGUCCUUCAACUGGAAAGAAGAGAACUUGCUGAAAAAGAAACUCAGCUUUUUGGAGUCCAUGAAGAAAUAUGAAGCUAAUGCCUGGCUAAUGGAGCAGAAAGCUUUUUAUAAACGAUGCCACUCAAAGCUCCAAAGGUCAGAGCUGGCGCAUGCCCGGUUGUUAGGCAACAAGGACCUAGUCAAACGGCUCACCUCUAAGAACAUGUUGUCCAGUUACACCACCACUUUUGUGGAUGAUAGUGAGGCAGCAGUGAAGGCGAUAGUCCAGAACAGAGGGUGGGAGAACAUGAUGCUCUUCAGACUUAGCCUGGACAAGGACAGACUCUACUCAGCCCUCAACAGUGAUCUGCUGAAGAAGGUGGAGGCCCAGGCAGCUCCCAGGGCAAUCUUAAAGGCAGACUCCAAGAAAGAGAGUGUGAGGACAACUGUAAAAAUAAGUAGGUCUCCCUCAAGAGGGGAGGGCAAGCCAGCUCUGGUUUUAUCAUUAGAGUCUCUUGAGAGUCCAGAGCAGGGAGAAAAACAGAGAAAGCCUCCUGUGGACAGCAGCCCUCUGCCAGAGGGAGAGGGGAUCACAAGGGACUUCUCUAGCAGGCCCUCAAGCAUUGUGCAGAGUCAUCUGCAAGAUCCAGCCAUUGGCAGGAAAUCGAAAUGCAAGCUUCUUCAAUACAUAGUCUAUGGAGACAGAAGUGUGAAGCUCCCUAAGAAGAAAAGGCCAAGGCCCAGGAACAACUCUCAUGGCCCAGAGGAUGUGCAAAUGGACCCAGCAAUGCUGACUCACAUCCAAGCCAUCCUAAGGCAGGAGUUUCUCAUGAAGGAAAGAGCUAAGUAUCUGGAGGACAGAAUCCAAAGUCUCCCUCAGUCCACACAUUUUCACUUUCAAGAUUACUCUUCCCACAGUCCCUUGAAGAAAGGAAGUGAGAGAGUACUACGUGCUCCAGGAAUCAGAAUGCAUGGUGCAGGAAGAGGGCAGAAAAUGGUUCUUGAAGAGAUUGGAAAACAAAUUGGAGGCAAUUCCAUCACCAGGAAGAAUGAAAACAGUUUUUUCUAA
rnacentral:lncRNA from 1 species